rnacentral:tRNA from 1 species
AGUAAGUGCCUGAUUUUAAAGGAUUACCUUGAUAGGGUAAAUAAAGUAAUUAAAAUUACCUUACUU